rnacentral:sRNA from 1 species
AGCCGAUGAUGAUCGCGAUGCCCAGCCAUUUCAGCGCGUCCGGCAGAUCGCC